CCCUCACUCGCCGCCGACGACCUGUCUCGCCGAGCGCACGCCUUGCCGCCGCCCCGCAGGCAGCUGGGAUACCGCGCCUCCAGUCUUGACCUUGCUGGGGGCGUUCGGAAAGAAGGACACGUGGGCUCGCGCCGAGUGGGCCGGGCCGCCGCCCCCAGCAUCGCGGCCUUGCUGGUUGCUCUGAUACAGUAGCCUUGGGUGGAUCCAUGGAGACACUUUGCUGAGCGGCUUUUUGCACCGUCAGGAAUACUUUUAACUUCCCUGGUCACUUGGAUUUGUAACUUGCCUCUCUCCGGCUGACUUGGUUUCUCAGGGGCCACAGUUGGAGUGGGUCUGCCCACAAGGCCGUUUUCGCGAAAUGCUUCGGUUACCCACAGUCUUUCGCCAGAUGAGACCGGUGUCCAGGGUACUGGCUCCUCAUCUCACUCGGGCUUAUGCCAAAGAUGUAAAAUUUGGUGCAGAUGCCCGAGCCUUAAUGCUUCAAGGUGUAGACCUUUUAGCCGAUGCUGUGGCCGUUACAAUGGGGCCAAAGG
rnacentral:lncRNA from 1 species